CCAAUAGCGUAUAUUAAAGUUGUUGCAGUUAAAAAGCUCGUAGUUGAACUUCGGGGUCUACCCAUUGGUCAGGCUUAAUUGUCUGCACUGGUGAGAUGGAUCUCUACCUUCUGAGGAACUUUCAUGCCAUUUAUUUGGUGUGAUGGGAAAUCAGGACUGUUACUUUGAAAAAAUUAGAGUGUUUAAAGCAGACUAUCGUCUGAAUACAUUAGCAUGGAAUAAUGAAAUAGGACGGACUGAUUCUAUUUCGUUGGUUUCUAGGAUCACCGUAAUGAUUAAUAGGGAUAGUUGGGGGCAUUAGUAUUCAAUUGUCAGAGGUGAAAUUCUUGGAUUUAUUGAAGACUAACUACUGCGAAAGCAUUUGCCAAGGAUGUUUUCAUUAAUCAAGAACGAAAGUUAGGGGAUCGAAGACGAUCAGAUACCGUCGUAGUCUUAACCAUAAACUAUGCCGACUAGGGAUCGGAUGAUGUUAAUUUUAUAAUGACUCAUUCGGCGCCUUACG
rnacentral:rRNA from 1 species